UAAAAAGGUAGCAGCAAGAGCGCGAACGGAUUCAGGCCAAGUAGCACUGAAAAAGACAGUUUGUCUGGAUCCAUUACGAGUGGGAUCUGGGGUAUGGCUGAUGAUGUUACGGAUAUCUUGUUCGAAUCCAGUGUCAAGCAUACGAUCUGCCUCAUCUAAAACAAGGUAACCAACUUGAGAACAAUCAAUCGAGCCAUCGUUAAUC